rnacentral:rRNA from 1 species
ACGCGAAAGGGGAGCAAUCCCUGAGUAGAGUGGCAAACGGGUGAGUAACACGUGGGUGACCUGCCUCAGAGGGGGGGAUAACGUCCCGAAAGGGACGCUAAUACCGCAUAACAUCCUGCCUUUGGAAAGGCGGAGAUCAAAGCCGGGGAUCGCAAGACCUGGCGCUUGGAGAGGGGCCCGCGUCUGAUUAGCUAGUUGGUAGGGUAAUGGCCUACCAAGGCAACGAUCAGUAUCCGGCCUGAGAGGGCGGACGGACACACUGGGACUGAGACACGGCCCANACUCCUACGGGAGGCAGCAGUGGGGAAUUGUUCGCAAUGGGCGCAAGCCUGACGACGCAACGCCGCGUGGAGGAUGAAGAUCUUCGGGUCGUAAACUCCUGUCGAGCGGGACGAACACUUAUCCAGUGAACAUCUGGGGUAGGCUGACGGUACCGCUAAAGGAAGCCCCGGCUAACUCCGUGCCAGCAGCCGCGGUAAUACGGGGGGGGCAAGCGUUGUUCGGAUUACUGGGCGUAAAGGGCUCGUAGGCGGCCAACUAAGUCGGACGUGAAAUCCCCAGGCUCAACCUGGGAACUGCGUCCGAUACUGGAUGGCUUGAUCCGGAAGAGGAUGCAAAAUUCCAGUGUAGCGGUGAAUGCGUAAAUUUUGGAGGAAUACGGUGGCGAAGGCGGCAUCUGGACCGCAUUGACGCUAAGAGCAAAGCCAGGGGAGCAACGGAUUAAAUACCCGGUUAUCCUGGCCUAAACGAUAAUGCUUGGUGUAACGGGUAUCAUUCCUGUUUGCCAAACUACGCAUUAACAUCCCCCGGGGAAUACGGUCCA